GGGUGCUCCCUACAAGAGAGGGCACAGCCAUGAACACCCUUCAGCCCCUCACCCCCACCCCUGGAAGCCCAGAGGGCACCCAGAAAUGAGUCAGGGCUGCUUCAAACAAGUCAGAUCUGAAUUCCUACCCAAAUGUUGCAUGUCAUGCUUGUUUACUGCCUAGUUCCCCACUAGACUGUAAGCCCCAGAGAGGCAGAGCUGUGUCUGUUUUGUCCACUGCUAAAUCCCCAGCGUGCAGCUCACUGAUGACUGAAAUGACUGUGAUUAGUAGCUGAGUGAACAUCAGACUUAAUUACUAACAUGACAUUCUCUGAGCAACUACUCCGUGUAAGGCACAGGGGCUCGUGAUGGGGAUGCAGAGACGCGAGGGAUAUAGCAGCCACCCUGGAAGACUAUCUCAGAGUGGGGACAAGAAGCAGUAAUUCCAGCUGUGACGGGAGUCUUCAGGAGCAGGCAGCAACCCAACCACCUACAAAGGAAGCUGGGUCCUCUGUUUUGUGUGUCCAGGAGGCAGGGGAGUUGUUCGCUCAUAGCACCGGUACCGCAGAGUCCUCCUCCAAGUCCCCUGGCUCCCUAAGAUCCCCUACUCUCCCCGCACUCCGCAACGCACGGCCCCCUCUCCAUCGCACAACGCACCGGUGGGGAGCCCCAAGGUGAAGUACUUGUCUGGUCCGGGGUGAAACUGGAUGAUGCGGUUCCUGAUGUACUUGGCGGCCCACUCACUGGCCUGAGAAUAGUGGUCCAGGAUGAUGAGCUUCAUCGUGUUCUGCAGGGGGCAGGGAAAUCUGGAAUCUGUGAGGUCAGCCUGGGGACGAAACAGAGAGACCUGGGUUUGAAUUCUGGUCUAGCCCAUCUCCACUUCUCGGGGUAGACGCUGGACAGCCGCAUACGCUCCCUGCCUCUCACCUCGGGAGGCCAGGUAACUUAGUUCUGACAAGGAAUUAAAAGGACGGCUUCUGAGAAAAUACUUUUCUUCCUGAGAAAAGUGGAAAAAGCACAUGUGGCAAGAAAAUGAGAUCUCCCUACAGCCACGGGAGUCAGCCACCCCGGCAGUGGGUAGCAGCCCCGGUCACGGCCGUGAGAUGACUGCAGGCCUGGUCAGUGUCCUGAGGAAAAUCUCCUGAGACACACCGAACCCAAAUCACUCAGCUUGGUUGCUCCUGAAUUCCUGACCCACAGAAGUUAUGAGAUUUAAAAAAUCUGUAUUUUUUUUAAGCUGAUAACUUAUAUAAUAUUUGGUUAGCAGCAAUAGGUCUCUAAUACUAAAGCAAGCAUCUUUUAUAAAAACUGCUGUUUGAAAUUUUAACCCUGCUAUUUCUGGCUUCUGUAAAUACUUGCUGGCUUAAAUAAUAAGGAAAAUAAGACUACUCCCAUUUCAGAGAGGCCAUUAAACCUUCUCCAGAUGAAGUUAUCGGUGCUGGCUUCAGGCCAAGCCUUUGGUUGAGGUCUCAAAGUCCCAGCACAUAGGGCCCUUUAAGAACUUGCAAAGGGAACUGGAAAAACCCCAUAUUUAGGAGACAAAGAAGGUAA